UAAGCCUGUGAAGGUGUGUCGUGAGGCAUGCUGGAGGUAUCAGAAGUGCGAAUGCUGACAUAAGUAACGAUAAAGCGGGUGAAAAGCCCGCUCGCCGGAAGACCAAGGGUUCCUGUCCAACGUUAAUCGGGGCAGGGUGAGUCGACCCCUAAGGCGAGGCCGAAAGGCGUAGUCGAUGGGAAACGGGUUAAUAUUCCCGUACUUGGUGUUACUGCGAAGGGGGGACGGAGAAGGCUAUGUUGGCCGGGCGACGGUUGUCCCGGUUUAAGCGUGUAGGUGUGUGUUCCAGGUAAAUCCGGUUCACUUUAACACUGAGGCGUGACGACGAGGCACUACGGUGCUGAAGCAACAAAUGCCCUGCUUCCAGGAAAAGCCUCUAAGCAUCAGGUAACACGAAAUCGUACCCCAAACCGACACAGGUGGUCAGGUAGAGAAUACCAAGGCGCUUGAGAGAACUCGGGUGAAGGAACUAGGCAAAAUGGUGCCGUAACUUCGGGAGAAGGCACGCUGACACGUAGGUGAAGUGAUUUACUCAUGGAGCUGAAGUCAGUCGAAGAUACCAGCUGGCUGCAACUGUUUAUUAAAAACACAGCACUGUGCAAACACGAAAGUGGACGUAUACGGUGUGACGCCUGCCCGGUGCCGGAAGGUUAAUUGAUGGGGUCAGCGUAAGCGAAGCUCCUGAUCGAAGCCCCGGUAAACGGCGGCCGUAACUAUAACGGUCCUAAGGUAGCGAAAUUCCUUGUCGGGUAAGUUCCGACCUGCACGAAUGGCGUAAUGAUGGCCAGGCUGUCUCCACCCGAGACUCAGUGAAAUUGAACUCGCUGUGAAGAUGCAGUGUACCCGCGGCAAGACGGAAAGACCCCGUGAACCUUUACUAUAGCUUGACACUGAACAUUGAGCCUUGAUGUGUAGGAUAGGUGGGAGGCUUUGAAGUGUGGACGCCAGUCUGCAUGGAGCCGACCUUGAAAUACCACCCUUUAAUGUUUGAUGUUCUAACGUGGACCCGUAAUCCGGGUUGCGGACAGUGUCUGGUGGGUAGUUUGACUGGGGCGGUCUCCUCCUAAAGAGUAACGGAGGAGCACGAAGGUUGGCUAAUCCUGGUCGGACAUCAGGAGGUUAGUGCAAUGGCAUAAGCCAGCUUGACUGCGAGCGUGACGGCGCGAGCAGGUGCGAAAGCAGGUCAUAGUGAUCCGGUGGUUCUGAAUGGAAGGGCCAUCGCUCAACGGAUAAAAGGUACUCCGGGGAUAACAGGCUGAUACCGCCCAAGAGUUCAUAUCGACGGCGGUGUUUGGCACCUCGAUGUCGGCUCAUCACAUCCUGGGGCUGAAGUAGGUCCCAAGGGUAUGGCUGUUCGCCAUUUAAAGUGGUACGCGAGCUGGGUUUAGAACGUCGUGAGACAGUUCGGUCCCUAUCUGCCGUGGGCGCUGGAGAACUGAGGGGGGCUGCUCCUAGUACGAGAGGACCGGAGUGGACGCAUCACUGGUGUUCGGGUUGUCAUGCCAAUGGCACUGCCCGGUAGCUAAAUGCGGAAGAGAUAAGUGCUGAAAGCAUCUAAGCACGAAACUUGCCCCGA
rnacentral:rRNA from 1 species